GUUCAGCACUGGAAAGCUCAGUUGGUUAGAGCAAUUAAGCGUUGAUAAUGCCAAGGCUGCAGGUUCGAUCCCUGUAUGGGACA